UACGAAGGGGGCUAGCGUUGCUCGGAAUCACUGGGCGUAAAGCGCACGUAGGCGGGUCGUUAAGUCAGGGGUGAAAUCCUGGAGCUCAACUCCAGAACUGCCCUUGAUACUGGCGAUCUCGAGUUCGGGAGAGGUGAGUGGAACUGCGAGUGUAGAGGUGAAAUUCGUAGAUAUUCGCAAGAACACCAGUGGCGAAGGCGGCUCACUGGCCCGAUACUGACGCUGAGGCACGAAAGCGUGGGGAGCAAACAGGG
rnacentral:rRNA from 1 species